rnacentral:rRNA from 1 species
GAUGAACGCUGGCGGCGUGCCUAAUACAUGCAAGUCGAGCGAACGGACGAGAAGCUUGCCUUUCUGAUGUUAGCGGCGGACGGGUGAGUAACACGUGGAUAACCUACCUAUAAGACUGGGAUAACUUCGGGAAACCGGAGCUAAUACCGGAUAAUAUUUUGAACCGCAUGGUUCAAAAGUGAAAGACGGUCUUGCUGUCACUUAUAGAUGGAUCCGCGCUGCAUUAGCUAGUUGGUAAGGUAACGGCUUACCAAGGCAACGAUGCAUAGCCGACCUGAGAGGGUGAUCGGCCACACUGGAACUGAGCCACGGUCCAGACUCCUACGGGAGGCAGCAGUAGGGAAUCUUCCGCAAUGGGCGAAAGCCUGACGGAGCAACGCCGCGUGAGUGAUGAAGGUCUUCGGAUCGUAAAACUCUGUUAUUAGGGAAGAACAUAUGUGUAAGUAACUGUGCACAUCUUGACGGUACCUAAUCAGAAAGCCACGGCUAACUACGUG